rnacentral:ncRNA from 1 species
AACCUGUUGAGCUUGAGUCUAAUCUGGCAUUGUUCGGAGACAUGCCGAGGUGUAGCAUACGUGGGAGACCCGGACCAAGGCUGGCGGUUUCGGCCGUUCGUCUCCGGGCCGACCUUGAGAUACCACUACUCGCAUCGUUUCCCCACUUACUCAGUAGAGCGGAACGCGCGGUUCCGGCCGCGGGCGCGUCCGGCCGGCGGUCGUCGUCCCGUCGCGUCGUCGGUUUGCCGUCGGUUCGCCGGCGCGCUACUGGAGCGCUGCGUGGCCGCCGUGCCGUCGGCCUGUGCCCGUUCGUGCCGGGCCGCGGUUGAUAUUCCGGUAGCGUUAAGCACCAGCCGAGGGAUCCGGGCGUCAAACCGCGGACCGCGUCCGUCCACGUACGGCCGACCGUCAAAAGUCGCCGCGUUCGCGGCGUAUCCGCGGGCCCGGUCACUGGUGCGAUCCGUAUUCCGAGGACACCGCCAGGUGGGGAGUUUGACUGGGGCGGUACAUCUGUCAAAAAAUAACGCAGGUGUCCUAAGGCCAGCUCAGCGAGGACGGAAACCUCGCGUAGAGCAAAAGGGCAAAUG